CGAACGCUGGCGGCGUGCUUAACACAUGCAAGUCGAACGGAAAGGCCCCUUUGGGGGUACUCGAGUGGCGAACGGGUGAGUAACACGUGAGUAACCUGCCCUUGACUUCGGGAUAACUUCAGGAAACUGGGGCUAAUACCGGAUAGGAAUCCUUGCUGCAUGGUGGGGGUUGGAAAGCUUCGGCGGUUUUGGAUGGACUCGCGGCUUAUCAGCUUGUUGGUGAGGUAGUGGCUUACCAAGGCUUUGACGGGUAGCCGGCCUGAGAGGGCGACCGGCCACAUUGGGACUGAGAUACGGCCCAGACUCCUACGGGAGGCAGCAGUGGGGAAUAUUGCACAAGGGGCGGAAGCCUGAUGCAGCAACGCCGCGUGCGGGAUGACGGCCUUCGGGUUGUAAACCGCUUUCAGCAGGGGCGAAGCUUGUGGUGACGGUACCUGCAGAAGAAGCACCGGCUAACUACGUG
rnacentral:rRNA from 1 species